UACGUAGGGUGCGAGCGUUGUCCGGAAUUAUUGGGCGUAAAGAGCUCGUAGGCGGUGUGUCACGUCGGCCGUGAAAACCUGCAGCUUAACUGUGGGCGUGCGGUCGAUACGGGCAUCACUGGAGUUCGGCAGGGGAGACUGGAAUUCCUGGUGUAGCGGUGAAAUGCGCAGAUAUCAGGAGGAACACCGGUGGCGAAGGCGGGUCCCUGGGCCGAUACUGACGCUGAGGAGCGAAAGCGUGGGGAGCAAACAGG
rnacentral:rRNA from 1 species